rnacentral:rRNA from 1 species
CGAAUGGCUCAUUAUAUAAGUUAUCGUUUAUUUGAUAGUGCUUUACUACUUGGAUAACCGUGGUAAUUCUAGAGCUAAUACAUGCUAAAAGACCCGACUUUGGAAGGGUUGUAUUUAUUAGAUUAAAAACCAAUGCCCUCUGGGCUCACUGGUGAAUCAUGAUAACUUCGCGAAUCGCAUGGCCUUGUGCCGGCGAUGGCUCAUUCAAAUUUCUUCCCUAUCAACUUUCGAUGUUUGGGUAGUGGCCAAACAUGGUUGCAACGGGUAACGGAGGGUUAGGGCUCGACCCCGGAGAAGGAGCCUGAGAAACGGCUACUACAUCCAAGGAAGGCAGCAGGCGCGCAAAUUACCCAAUCCCGAUACGGGGAGGUAGUGACAAUAAAUACUGAUACAGGGCUCUUUUGGGUCUUGUAAUUGGAAUGAGUACAAUUUAAAUCCCUUAACGAGGAACAAUUAGAGGGCAAGUCUGGUGCCAGCAGCCGCGGUAAUUCCAGCUCUAAUAGCGUAUAUUAAAGUUGUUGUGGUUAAAAAGCUCGUAGUUGAACCUUGGGCCUGGCUGGCGGGUCCGCCUCACCGCGUGUACUUCGCCGGCCGGGCCUUUCCCUCUGUGGAACCCUAUGCCCUUCACUGGGUGUGGCGGGGAAACAGGACUUUUACUUUGAAAAAAUUAGAGUGCUCCAGGCAGGCCUAUGCUCGAAUAUAUUAGCAUGGAAUAAUAAAAUAGGACGUGUGGUUCUAUUUUGUUGGUUUCUAGGACCGCCGUAAUGAUUAAUAGGGACAGCCGGGGGCAUCAGUAUUCAAUUGUCAGAGGUGAAAUUCUUGGAUUUAUUGAAGACUAACUACUGCGAAAGCAUUUGCCAAGAAUGUUUUCAUUAAUCAGGAACGAAAGUUAGGGGAUCGAAGACGAUCAGAUACCGUCGUAGUCUUAACCAUAAACUAUGCCGACUAGGGAUCGGACGAUGUUAUUACUUGACUCGUUCGGCACCUUACGAGAAAUCAAAGUGCUUGGGC